AGAAUAUCUGUUGAUGAAUGCUUUUAUGUCAAUUUUUUACCUCCCUGCUGCUUGUUCCCCUCUGGUUUUGCUUUCAGUGACUGCUGUGUCUGCAGGGCUCCUCCAGAGCUUCACCCAGGCCUCAGCUGUGCUGGCUCUGAGGCUCACUGGGUGAGGACUUCUAGUGGAGACUGUCAUGUGUCUUGGUUCAAAAAGACCCAAGUGCCCAGUCCUACACUUUGGCCACAAUAACCCCCUCCAGUGCUACAGCUAGGGAAAAAGUGGCUGGAGAGGGACCUGGGAGCAGUGGUAGACAGCAGGUUGAACAUGAGCCAGCAGUGUGCCCAGGUGGCCUAGAAGGCCAGUGGCAUCCUGGCUUGUAUCAGGAACGGUGUGGCCAGCAGGACUGAGGAUGUGAUUUUCCCCCCUGUACUCAGCACUUGGGAGGCCUUGUCUUGAGUCCUGUGUCCAGUUCUGUGCCCCUCACUUCAAGAAGGAUCUUGAGAUGCUGGAACAGGUCCAGAGGAGUUAAUGAGGCUGGUGAAGGGACUAGAGGGAAAGUCUUAUGAGGAGAGGCUGAGGGAACUGGAGUUGUUUAACCCAGAGAAGAGACUCAGGGGGGACCUUCUCACUCUCUUCAACUACCUGAAGGGAGGUUGUGGUCAGGUGGGGUCAGGCUCUUUUCCCAGGCAACCAGUGACAGGAUGAGAGGGCCUGGCCUGAAGCUGCUCCAAGCAGGUUGGAUAUCAGGAAGCACUUCCUCAUGGAAAGAGUGAUCAGACAUUGGAAUGGACUGCCCAGGGAAGUGGUGGAGUCACCAUCCCUGGAGGUGUUUAAGGAAAGGCUGAAUGUGGCACUUAGUGCCAUGGUCUAGCUGAUGUGGUGGUGUUAGGUCAUAGGCUGGACUUGAUGAUCUCAGAGGUCUUUUCCAGCCUCAAUAAUUCAGUGAUUUUGUGAUUCUGUGGUGCAGGGCAGAGCACUCUGUUCUUGUCUGCAUUAGUACACACUCUGGCCAAGAAAUACUUUAGAAACAGAGUGGAAGCACUGGCUGUAUGGAGAGCUGCAGGAGAGCCCAUUUGAAUCCACCGUGAAGCUGAUAGGAGGAAGGUCCUCCAUUUGAAGGGCCUGAUGCUCUCCUGAGUGCCCCCCUUCCUUGAGACUCUGACUCCUUGAGAGCCUGAGAAAUUUUGAUACUCCAGCUCUGCUCUGCCUUGCACUUGCUAGUGCAAGCAGCAAGUCUAGGGUAGAUCAGUGAGCAGAGUAAAAAGGCUUUGGCAGGGGUCCAUGCAGGAAGUGUCAAGAAGGAGGGGGUAAAAGCUUUGUGACUCUUUGGGAAAAUGGCAACGUUCCUCCCUAGGCAACUCCACUGAGCAUGUGGGGCUCCUUUGUGUCUACAUACUCCCUGGCUCCCCUCCCUGGAAGCCUCAGGGCUUGAGGGUAUGUGUCCUAGGUGAGGUCUCUCUACUCAUGUCCUAGGGUCAGUUCCUGGAAUAUGUCUGUAAGGGAAGUUGGUGGGACCCAUCCUCACUUUUGCUGAAAUUAUACUCCUGCUUUCAAGCUGAGUCACCCCACACCUGGAUGUGGUUUUACUCAGAAGAAGAACUAGGGUGCUUGGUGGCUUCUAUGGAAUAUGAUAGAGCUGUGGCAAGCUCAGGAGGGGUGAGGUGGGACUGUAUGCUGGUGCAGUGUAGUCCAGCAGAAUGUUGAAGAAUCAGCACAGUUUGUCUGUUGAACACUAUCCAACUGGCUUGAAUGGGUACUGACAUUUAAUGUCAGGAAGAAAGAACCCCUGCGCACCCUCUUUCAUGUAAGGAAAAACCUUACUGUGCACUGAAAGUGCCAGAAAUGGAAAAGGAGGCAAGGAUGAAGGACUGAAAGGAGGAGAUAGGGAUGCUGCAGCAGUGGCACAAAAAGAAUGAGAAAGUACUAUCUUGUAGUGAUAGCAGGGAAGUGCAUUCUCUAGCCACAAAGAGGUAGAGUUGGAGUCUAUUGAGGAGACAGGAUAGAAGUAUAGAGAAGAUGGUAGUGGGGAUUGGGAGCUGGGAGUACCAGUAGGAUCCUGUUUGCCUCUGGAAGUCACUCUGGGUGGCUGUACAGCUCUUUGGUCUUGUACAGAUGCAGUCAAGGCCUCUUGUCAUUGCUGAAGCUGUUUCCAAUUUGAGUCAGUGCAGUGAGCUUGGAACUGGGAAGGCAGGUGAGGGCAGCGCUGUGUGCAGGCACAGGUGUGCAGACUCCUGCCUUUCUGAGGCUCCUUUGUGCCACAGUGUGAUCUUUGGAGCCUUCUGAGAGGAGCAGGGAAGUUCAGGGGUCAUCAGAGAGCCCAGAGUCGGGCUGCUUUGGAGGGUGGGAGACGCAGGUUUCUGUGCAGUCACUGUGGCGCAGUUGGGCUCUGCCGGAGCCACUCGUGAGCACUGCGGUGCUGGGGAGACCUCUGUGUGCUCAGCACGAGCCCUUCUGCUGGGGGGGCACACGUGUAUCCAUGCUGUGGGGACCCAUGCACAGGAAAUAGAGGGCUGAGAUUGAAUAUUGAUGGUGUUUGAACUAAUUAACCAGCAGAAGCAAAGCGGAACGAAUCUCAGAGGUGCUGCACUCCUUCUGCAAACUCUUCUCUUGCCUGUAAGACCAGGUGCUACAUGUGUGCUGAUUUUGCCCCUACCCAUUCCCCUGGGUGACCUCUUUAUUCUAAGAACAGCUGCUUGGCUUCCUGCUGAAAUUUCAUUACAGUAAACAUCCUGAAGGCAAGGAGAAGAUGUCUCUGCAGAGCCCUCUGCACUCCUCUGGUCCUCUGCCCAGCAAACAAGGUAUCUCCGGCAAGCUUACUGUGGGAGAGCCAGCCUGGCCCCAAAGCACACAGAGGUAGCAAGGCAGAGCAGUGACACAGGGCCUGGUGCCCUGCAGUGGGGCUGCCUUAAGCUGUGCUUAAUUUCUUGUUUCACCUGAAUAUCUGUAGCUUUUAUUUCACGGUUUGUGGUUGAUGCCUAGUGAGGUGGGGAAAGAGCAGUUCAGGUUGCAAAUGGCUGGAAGGCUGGUUAUCGCCCAACCUGGGGCUGUAAAGGGCUCACACUCAUGUGGGAUCUCUGCAGUGGCAAAUAAUCAUCCCUAACUCUAUAGCUCUUCUUCUGCACGAGGGCUAUUUUUUUUCAGCAUUGGAUUAUGUGGAUUUUGAUGUUCACAGCCUUGGGUCUCUGCAAUCCAAGGAAGUGGGAAGAACCUUUGCUCCUAGUCUGCACCCUGUACUUGCCAAUGUUUCAGUUUUCUGGAGUCAUGCUAACCUGGGAAGUUGUGUCCUGCAGUUGCUUGGGGAGUUGUGUUUGGGGGGGAAUGAUCUGCUUGGCUUGCUUUGCAUUAGGAAAGGUGAUGCAGCUGUGUCUGGGACUUGGAAGUGAUGGUGUCUGUGAUGGUAUUGCCUGUGAGGGACUGGUUGUGCUGAGUGCAGUAAAGCCUGGAAGGAGUGUGCUUCUCCAGGAGGACGGGUAGCUGUGCCACUCACCUCCCUCCUUCCAAACAGUCUCCUUGCUGCCAGGAGCCAGGACCUCUGAAUGCCUCGCUGGGCCUUUGUUGCCAGCCUGGCCUCCCAGGAGAGCAGUCUGUACCUGCCCUUCUCUGGACCUUGCCAGGAGCAGAGGCUGCUGCCAGCUUCUGGCUACUUGCCCAGUGAAAAACAGCAGAAUUGACCAUGCAAUUGUUAAUGAAAAUCACAGGCAGGAAGGUGCAGCCAAGCUCUGUAAUUGCACUAAUUGGAACCAUCAUCAUGAACAUGCUAAGAGCCACUGUCCUGGUCUCAGCCUAGUAAUUCUCAUGUUUCAGCACCUCUCCACCACCCUGGCCAAGGCAGAUCCACCUGCCACGGGGAUGUAAUACACUGUAUAAAUGGAGCUGAAAAGUGUUGUGUUCCUUGUCCUGUGCUGCUUUGCUUCUAGAUGUUGAAGGUUUCUCGUGGAACUCCCCAGGUAGAAUGGAGAUCCAGGCCCUGGAGAUCCCAAUGAUCUUGAAGGCUCUAAGUCCCCUAGGAAGGAAAGUAGGCAUGGUUUUAGAAACUUGAUGAGGUUUUGAGGAUUUGACUUGCAAUUUCUGGCAAGUUAAGGCUGGUGACAUUGAAGCCAGGACUGAAAUAUGAGGGCUUGGCUGCAAGACCAUACAGUGCACUGCUCUGUCACUGUGCUGGCAGGGCUGAGGGCUGGUUGUCCAGACUCUGAGACAGACCCAGGCUGGUCUUGCUAUUAAGAUCUGCAGACAGGGAAUACUCCCAACUUUUGGGAGGUCUUGAACCUCUUCUUGACCUCUGCAUAUCCCAUGGAAAUAGGUACUGCUCCUGCCCAGCACUCUCUGCCAGAGUAAUUCCCUGUGGGACAGUGGAUCCUGCAAAACCAACAUAGCUUCUGCACUGGGUUACAAGUCUUUGGCUUCCUUCUGAUGCUGCUGAAGUUCUCUACAUGUGCCCUGUCUCUCCCCUGACUCUCCCACAUCUGCAGCCUGGGGUUGGAUUCCCUUUGUUGCUCUAAUCCUCCUGUACCUCAUUCUCUUUGGUUCAUUAAUCUUCCUCACACUUCCAGCUGCACUUGGCUCAGAGGCUGCAGCUCCCUGGCCACAGUGCAGCCAGGGGAGGCAAGCAAUGGCCCUUACUGUGGGCAGCAGGUACAGUGGAGUGAGAGAAGAGCUCAUGUGGGGAGAGGCCUUGGGAGAAUAUUCUCCAUGUCUGUCCUUGCAGCAGCCCCACAGAGGAGGGGUGACCCUGGCCAGGCCUGCAGCCAUCCCAUGCAGCAGUGCUGCCUGUGGUGAGUUUAGGCAGAGACAGGCCCAGGCUGGGAAGCACUGACAUUCCUGGAUCUGUCCCCGGGUGCUGGGUGAGACCAGUGGCUGCUUGUAGACCUGAGAUGCCCAGGGCUGUUCCUGCUCUCUACAGGCACAUGGGCCCAUCAGGCAGGAGAGCUCCCUGUUCCUGACAGGCGUCAAGGGUGCUUCCUUAUGCUGCACUGUCUGUAGCUUGUGCCUGCUGUUCAUAGAUUUUUAAGGCCUGAAGUGACCAUUAAUUUAUCUAGGGCCCUUGUGUAACUCCAAGUAAGUAAUAACAUUAUUCUGUUUUGCCUGUAAAGAACACAGUGUCUCUCAGCUGAUGCAUCUUCCAUGACAGGGAGGAGGAUCCAAACAGGCAGAGCAGAUGGCACUUCUCAGGUAGCAUGGCCCAGUGCCGUGUUUCCUGUUUGCAGUUUGCUUGACUACAGGCCCCAGUUUCCUUUACUAACAAAGUUAAAGAGCUCUUUCACACCAAGCGUUUUUUGUCUGUGAAGUGCUUAUAAUCAGAUCACAUCUCAGGCUCCAUUUUUGGUGAGAUAACAGACUGAACUCUCUCAUUCUGUCCCUGGCAAGUGUUUUCUCCAGCCUGCAAAUCACAUUUGUAAUUAUUCUGUGCAUCCUCUGUUUUUUCAAAAUCCAUUUAGAGAAGUGGGCACCAUAUCUGACUCGCAGCGCCAUGCAGGGGGGAAUCUUGCCAGCCGGCUCCCACUCGUUGCUUCCCAGCCAUGUGUCUGAGCUUGCUACCAGCACAUCCCCUACUGAGACUGUACAGGAAACAAAGGGUACUCUGUGUAGAACAAAGAGUCCCACAAAGACAGUCCCUGCUGACCCAGGUAGGUCAGCUCUCUUGUCAUCACCCACUGAGGCACCACUGAAGAGAGCCUGGCUUCAUCCUCUUAUCACCCCGCCCUUCAAGUGUUUAUCCACAUACACACCCACCCACACACCCACACCCACACACCCCCCCUCAAGCCCUCUCCACCCUGAGCAGUCCAUGCUCUAUCAGCCUUUCUUCACAUGAGGUGUUCCAGUCCUGUCAUCUCUGUAGCCUUCUGCUGGACUCUGCAGUAUGUGCAUGUGUCUGUUGUGCUGCUGAGCCCAGCACUGGGCACAGUGCUCCAGGUGUGGCCUUACCAGUGCUGAAUAAAGGGGAGCUGCUGGCCGUGCUUUGCCUGAUGACUCCCAGGAUGUCAUUACCUUUCCAUGGGGCAAGGGCCCAGUGCCAGCCCACAGGGUGUGCAGCUGGAGAGCAGGAGGGCAAGAAUUUGUCUUGUCUAUUGCUGCAAGAGGGUCUGCUGGAGCACAGCACUGUCCUGCAAGACCCACACUAGCAUAAGUAGCCCUACCAUCUCCUCUUGUGCUUUCCAGGCUAGCGGAGCUGGGUAAUUGCUUUAUCUAUCAGAGCUCCUUGCAUUAACAGGCAGUAAUUGGCACCUGUGUUAAAGAGCCUGGUUUCAAUUACUGCUGAAUGCUGCUCUAACUCCAGAGCUGGGAGAUUAUACGGGGGAGGAGCAGUAAUGCUCAUGUUUACUCUGUCUUUCCACCAGGUGCUCCUCUUCCCCUGGGGAUGAAGAAUUUUUUGCAUUUCUUGCUUGUGCCUUGGAUUUGCAAAGCCACCAGCAAGGGCUGCAUGGGAAGCACAAGGUGUGCCUCUCGGGAGCACAGGGAACAGGCAGAGCUGGCACAGUGCUCAGCUCUGCUCUGCCUCACAUGGAUGAUUCUUGCAGAAGACUCUGCUACAAAUCCUACACUGAACAGUGAGGUGGCAAGGUCUGGGGGGGAAUUGGUCUUUAUAGACGGUGGUAUUCCCCUGUCCCCAUGCAACAACAAUCCUGGGAGCUUUCCCAGACUCUCCCCUCAGCUAUGCAUCUCUCUCUGGCUUCCACUGCAUCAGCACUCCCCCAUGUGCUGGGCUCAGCUCCCUUCUGCUGCCAUUCAUAAUUUCUGAUCCAAUAAAUUACGGCACCGUUAAAACGCACAGGGAAUUGUUUUCUGUGUUACAGAGCCAUGAGCCCUUAAAUUUCCAUUUAUUUACUGGGUGAUGAAUGGACAGUUGUGGUUGGUGCUGGAGCCAUGCAGAAGGGUGGGAGGGCUCUGACUACAGUGUGACUUCGUGCUCCCUCUUGCAAGCUUUGCACCAGGACCUUACCGGGUCUGUGGCCAGGCUAUCCAACCAAACUCCCUGGUUCUGUUCACAGCAGGAGUCAAGGUGGAGGUUUGAAGGGGCUAAGUCAGAAUGUUUGGGCUUUAUUCCUGCACUGUGAGGAGAACUUUGAUGUCUGGGAGGGGAGGCAGCUGCUGUGUGGGCAAGUAGUUGUGCUACAGAAGCAGGGCUUCUGGGGGGCUUGAGGGCCCUCAGCUGCCUGCAGGACAGGCGAUGGGCAGAAGCCCUAACAUCAGAGACCUCAGCACAGAGUGAGGGCAGUGAAAGGGGGAAGAGGAUUGGCUGCAGGCACCUGGGGAAAGGCUGUGCUGGCAUCCAAGGAAUGCUGUAGCUUAGUGGCUUCCCAGUGGCAGAAGUCCUGCUUGAUGCUGGAAGUUAAGUGGCUCUUGUAAGAUGUGUAGGACUGCUGGGAACAGGCUGCAAGUGUCCUUGGAGAGGCUGGUCCUGAGCAGCCCCAGGAUACAGCAAUGGGGGAAAACAGCGUGUUGGAGAUGGCAGCUGUUGCCCAGUGCCAAGAGUGGCCCUUCUGAAGACAGGUUAUUUACCAGUGAUCUGUAUGUGUUUCUGUGACAGUCAGUCCUUCUUCAGCCAAUGCACUCUUUGCUGCAUCUUAACUGCUUUUGCCUUUCUUCUCCCUGGUAACCUGAAGGCAAAGGCUGUACAUGCACCACAGUGCUUAAACUGUGGAGAUGCCGGUCACACGGUGGGCACGUGGGAGGCACAGCCAUCGCUCCGUGGUUUCUCCCUUCUUUAUGUGCCUGUGUUCUUGCAAAGGUAGUUUUAAGUCAGUCUUGCAGCACUUUGGAUUUAUCUAAUGGUUUUAACGGUGGGUGUAGGCUUUGCCGCAUGACUCUUGUCCCACAGUUGAGUGCAGUUCAGUAUUUCCCCUCUUCCCUGUCUCUUCAGGCUGCAGGCCUGUGAGAGGCCUCUAGCUCUGUUCUGUUCUGGGACACAGCCAUUCUGCUGCCCUGUACCACUAGUGCUUGCACAAGUGGCAGAAGUAGGCACAGAAAGAGUUAAUAGUGCUGGAAAAAUUAUUAUUUAAUCCAUUGCUGUCCCUUCUGGCAAACCGAGAUGGUAAAAUGCCUCCCUGUUGGAAAUAGCACCUCUUGGAAAUGGAAAUGCAGGAUGGCUGGGGAUUAGGGUGCCUAUCGCUGGAAAUGGGUUUCUUAUCAUCUCUCUGAGCUGAAUUGGUGGGACAGCCUCUGAAAAUUGAAUUGCCUUCCCUGUUUCUGUCUCUGCCAUUGCAUUCCUCCUCUAGCUUUGCACCCGCCAUCCCAGCCGCUGGUCUCGUCCCCAUCCGCAGCAGAGCAGGGGCUGCCUCUGAGAAGGAGCGUGUCUGCUGAGAGGGACUGUCCCACCUGGGAGGUGGGCAGGACUGGCUACAUCUGGGAAUACUUUUCCUGUGGAUUCUCAAGGCCAGGAGGAUGUAGUCCCUUUCCAAGUUUCCCUCUGACCUUGCAAGGACAGUGGUGGCCUGGCAGAGCCCAGUUUAGGGCAGCAUGAGUGAAGAUGUGAAAUGGCCAGAAGACAUCAGGCACAGCUGUGCCGGGAUGUGCGUUCUGUGCUAUGGGAGUGUCACAUCCCCUGUGUGGUCAUGUGUUCAACAGUUCAUCCAAAGCAACUUCUGUUUCAUUUUGGGCUAAAACUGAUAAAUCAAGGUGACUUUGGGGAGAGAAAUAAUUCCUUUCCCAGGAUUUGCAUAAUCCUGGCUGGUGAUAUGAUAAUGGUGUUUGUUAAAGAUGGAACACAAUGAAUUAAUACUGUUAAGUUGCUGCUGUAAAAUGCAAAGCAGGUAAUGUACCGUGGGUGUGAGGAAGAGCAUGAGUACGGCAGACAUGGCAGUACCAGGCACAGGGGACUUGUUGCCACAGGAGGAGCCAGGGUGUAGCACAGUCAGCACCACUGGCCCCCUGCACCACGCCUGCCCGUGGGAGCAUUACCUCUUUGAGUCUUUCUGAAGCUGGGACCUGCUUUGUCCCCCAGAUCAUUCCUGAGAGCCAGCAGGACAGGGCCAGUCUCUGCAGGAGCAGGGAGCUGGGGGUGACCUGCGUCUGGCUGUUGCUAAAGGGCCCUCCAGGCACAGAGCUGCUCUGGGGGUUGCAGCGUUGAGGAGAUGCGCCCUGGCACUGCGCUUUGUGCCACCCUGGCCCCCCAGCAGCCCAGAGACUUCAGUUCAUUUUCCUCCCUCUAAGAGGUAAGGCUGGUGGCAGAUGCUCCAGCCUGGAGGCUCUGGCUCCCGCCCCGGCCCUCACCUGCCCCGGGGCCGCUGAGGGAGCCAGGCGAGGGCGCGGGAAAGGCUCUCGCUCCUCGCGUGGGCCGGGGCUGGUGCUGCAGCUCCAGAGCCAUCCCUGCCCGCCGGACCCACUGCAGUCCUCGUGUGCCAGGGAUCUCUGCGGCUCCAUAGCUCUACAGAGGGAGAUGCUGUGCAGGAGUCAGAGCAGGAUUUCAAGCUAAUUGGAUUCUGUGUCUCCGUGGUUUCCCGUGUAGGAAGGGAUUAGUGCUGUGUUUCUGAGGAGCAGAGAGGGAGGAUGACCUGCAUAGGGAAUUCUUCCUGCAUAGCCCCUGCUGCUACCUUCAGCAAAGGACUCUUGAGCAGGCUGUCAAGGUGGAAGAGCCCAAAGCAGUGUGUCCCCACUCUGUUCCAGUCACUUGUGCUUUUCCUGAAUCUUCGAGCUGGGUGCAGUCCCCUUGCUCAAACAGCUCCUGACCUUGAGUAAGCCUGGCAUGGUCUCAUCUCUCCUGCUUUAGCUUGUGAGGGGAGCCAGACAAGUGAAUCACAGAAAUGGGGGCUCCUGCCUGCAGCCACCCAGCUGCCUGAGUUUGCUCCCUGCUUCCUGCCCACUUCUCUUCCCUGGCCUAGCUGCUGGCAGGGAACAGGGUACAUUUGAACCUUCCCCCAGGUUCCUAGCCUUGUUUCAGAGCCUGUCAAGGCAGGAGUAGAUUCACCUCAUUAACACAGAUUUAUUCCUGUAUAAACAUUCCUUUAAUUGCAAGGCAGUCACACGGCAGGCAGCAGUGGUCAUGGCUCUGUUUGCACUGUGGUUGCACACACACCGGGUGUGUGAGCCUGCAGCACAGUGCCUGUGGCUGAGCAUACGCAAGGUUGCAACAUGCCAUGGUAUCUACAUGUGGAAGUGUGUGCUGUGCAAUGCAGGAUUGGACAGCCUGGCUAACUGUGUGGCCGUGAGUACCGUGCUAUCCCAGCACAUCCACAGUGUCCCUGCUGCUGUGUUAGGGCCAGACUAUUGCCCACACUGUGCAGAGGAAGGGCAGAGAGGCUCAGAGGUGACAAGACCCUGACUCUACAAGCAGUGGUAAUGGAACAUGGACCGGGCCCAUGUGUCACCAGUGCCUUGUGCUCACACUGUGAUGUGCACACAGAGAUUAUCUCCUUGCUGCACACCCUGAAAGCUGCUGGUUGUCCCGCGUCUCUGCUGUGCUGAGGGACAGCUGCGUGCACCUGGAUGAGGGGAUGGAGUCCGGGGGCAGCAAGAGAGAGGUAAGGUCUUCUCUGGGCCUCUUGGCCUCCCUGGCACAGUGAGAUGUGCCUGGGGUCACCAUUUUGUGGCUCCUGGCACAAUAGUACGUAUCUUGGACUCCCUAAUCUGUGAUCUUUGGAAAAACAUGUUCCCUAGGUCCCAUUUCCUUGCCAGAUUCGGUGCUUGUUCAGACAGCACAGACCGAGCUGUGCAGAAAGCUGGGGGUGGAAAGAGGGUCUGAGCCUUCUGCUCUGGUUCAAGUCAAACUGAGGGGAGAUGCUUCCACUACUAGGGCCAGGGAGUGAUCCUCUGAGGGGACGUGGGAUGUAGCCUGCUCCUGCCCUUUUCACACUAUCAAAAUACCACCAUCUCCCAAAAGCUCCCUGGCAGCCCCUUCCUGGCAAUAGAGUGGCUCUGGGGCCCUGCUAAGCCAGGCAAGAGACUGCACCCAGUCCAUGGUGUCUGCUGGGCUCUAAAUGCAGGGGCAGCAGGUACUUGCCAACCUGCUGCUGCAAUUCAUGGUCUGUCUUCUCCCACAUGCUCAUCCAAACGUUAAUUUUAUGGAUGCCAUUAUAAAUCUUGCGGCUUUCCUCCAUCAACAGGCUACAUAGGUUUCAUCUUGUUGAGAGGUGACACUUCUGGCCUUUGGUACCAGGCUAUCAAUUUAAUACUCUAAGAGUAAUAAAAAACAUGGGAUCAUAUUAACUUGCGAUUACUCUGCCGCCCCUUCCUGUAACUCUUUCUGUGCCAUCUAAAAUCCUAGGAUGCGGAACGGGUGUCUCAGCUGCUGGCAGAGCCACAGGCUUGGGACAGCAACAGCCAGAGACAGCCUCCCAGGUGGAACAACUACAUGGUUUCUAGAUUGUGAGCGGUUUGUCUCCUGCUUGCCAAGAAACUGGAGGCUUGUGCCCAUCUCUCUGUUAGUCCUGGCCAUAUGGAGAAAUGUUUGUAUCCCAUCUUUGAGACCCUUCCAUGUGAUCUGAGCAGGGGACACCUGCAAGUCUGCCAAGCCACACAGCAUAUUGAUUUGCCAAGCUGAAAGGAAAGGCAUUUCUCUGCUCACUGUGAGACAGCCCUGCUGCCGACCAGCCUGGAAGAACAUAUUUAGGUCAUUCUAUCAAUGUAAAGGUUAAAUGCUUAGCUGCAGGUAUUGAAAACAAAGCAACAGCAGCUGCAGCAGCAGCAAAAGAAUUUGCUGCCUUAUCACUGCCUGGAUUUUUAGAUCUGCAUCUAAGUGCAGUGCACUGAGGUCCCCACUGGGCAGUGCCUCUCAGCACUUUUUCACCCGUGGGCAGCUAUACAAAAGCUCAGCCCCACUUCAUCCCAGUUGAUCGGUUUGCAGAAUGGAUUUUUGGACUCGUAAUUUUGUCUGGGGAUUUUAAAGAAGCACCAGAUUCUUUAAAGUAUGUCCUUACAAUUUCUGUGCUCUUGGCUGCUUAAGAGAGCCUCUUUGUAGCCUUGCUGUCAGCCACACAACAUCUGUGAGAGUGCCAGUGACCUACUCUAAGUUACUUGAAUGUAGGUCUUUUGUUGAGUAAAUAUGGGCCUGGAAGAGUAAUUUUUUUUCUACCUUGCAAAUAUAUUUCAGUAAAUCAGGAGAUUUAUCAUGCAUUUAACUUGCAUUAGUUUUGUAAAAAACACUUUAUAAGUUUAUAUUUUAGCGUCAUAAAGCAGGUUGUCUUUUGGACAGCAUGGCUCGUAGCUUUAUUGACUUCAUAACAAUUUGCAAUAUGCAUAUUAUUAGAAGAAAAAACGUAAAACCUCAUUGUAAUGUAAUACAUUUGCCUGAAUUGCCUCUUCCUGUCGCAUCUGUGGGCAUGUCACAGCAACUGUCCUGCUGCCAGGCCAUUGCUCUGGAGCCCAGGCUCACCCCUUACAGUACUCUGCCUAGAAGACAGAGUCUAAAGCUCUUCCAGGCUCUUGCUGGCAUGGUCUGCCUAAGGUAAGGCCUUUAGUGCUUCAGCUGUGCUCCAAGCCCACCUUGCCAGGUGAGGGGCUGCAGGAGCCUCUGCCUGCUCAGGAGGGCUUGUUCUGUUUCUAGCCCUGUGUGCAGCAUCCUGAGAAGCGCCGGUGGCUCAGAGCCCCCUCCUCCAUCCCCAAGGCCGACUGCUCCAUGCAGGAGGCAAUGGCUCCUGGUGGCACCUGUGUGAGAGCUGUUGAGGGGCUAGGGACAGGGGCAGGUGCUAUGGCUGCCCUGCAGUGGCACCUGACACCUCACUGGGGUCGGAGCCAGGUGCUGUCACUGUGGUGCAGGGUGUUGGCAUUACAUGCGGGUCUCUGCAAACCGCUUUCUGUGUCCUGUCACCCUUUUUCUGUUGGCCUAUGCUCCUAUUAGAUGAGCAUGUGAUCCACUACAAUCUACAGCCAUCCAGCCUCAGUGAUCAGAGAAGCACAGGAGACUGAUCUAUUGGGGGGACUUCAUCCCAGGGCUCAGUGGGGAGUAGGCAUCUGACUUGGCUGGCUCAUAAACUGGGCUCCAGCAUGGUGUCCUGCCCCUGUGCUGCUCAGCACCCGUCCAGCCACAGGGUGCUCCCCAGUGAGGUGGUUCUGGUGUGCAGGCACCCAGGUCCCAGCUGAACUAUCACCUCAUAGCAGCAGACGAAUGUGGAAAGCCUUUAGAUUCAGCACAUGAUCAAUACUAAACUGAUCUCAAGUCUCUUACAAGAUUACCCCAGCCUCAUGCAUCCCAUCAUAAAAAAAGCGCUUGGCACACUAGGGAGAUGUGAGAAACACUGCAGACCCUAUUUAGGAUACACAGAGCCAGAGUGAGUGACCUCACAAUUGUUUCUUGCAGUAAAUAAUUCAUCCACAUUACAUUUGGUUUUAUUGCUGCCCCCAUGCCCCUGCCUCAGUUCCUUUCUACCAGUUUCCCUCUCCUGUCCGGAAAUUCCCGUGCUGGGUAGUUUCUGUCAUUGUGAUUCCCUACCACACGUGUGUGUUUGUACACACAGACACAAACCUGUCCUGAUCCAACUUUUACUGGUUGCUGUUCUAGGGAGAGCAGUGCUGGGGUAGACACAGUGCUGUUUUGCUGCUGAGCAUCUGCAAAAUUGAGCUAGGCUCAGCCUGGGCCCUGCCUUGAUUCUGCCACCUUGGUCUCUGCCCUAUUGCUGCUUUCACAUGGUGCCAGUGUGCCAAACUGUUUGGAAUGCAUUAACGAUACUGACACUUUUUCUUUGCUAAUUAGGAAUGCCAUUUGAACAAACUCUUUCUCUAAAUUUCCAGCCAGCCAGGUGCAGAGUGGGGGCUAGAGCAGCAGUGAGGGGUGGAAAGCUGGCCUGUCGUGGGACCAGGCUGGGUAGGUGCUCCUCACCUGGGGCCCCUCCAGAAGCCUUGGCCUUCCCUGCACCCUCAGAGCCAGCAGGAACAAGGCAGCAGCUGGAUGGGAAUGAUACGUGGGACAUGCCACAUCUGGGCCAAGGUGUCUGGUGGGCUCUGCCCUCAGCACACACACCAGUGUGGACUAUGGUGGGCUUGCUGAACCAGACAGCACGGAUGUCCAUGCAGGUUGCUACAGCUGCUAAAAGCAGGUUUAUGGGAAGCCCUGCCAUGGGAUGAAGCUUGUCUGGCCCUGUCAGCUGAGGCAAGACAGUUAUGUGCAUCUCUGAAGCCCCUGGCAGCACACUAGCUCCUGAGGCAUCCCACUUCUGAAUAUUUUGUGGGAAAGACUGAGUACAAAUUGGGAUAUGUCUCUUUGAGCUGAAAAUUGUUCAGUCUGGGAGAGUGUCAGGAAGAGCAUCACAUCUGAUUGCCGUGUUCCUGUUCUGCUCUAGGUAGUUGCUCCUGGCCACUGUGAAGACAACAUGGGCUAAAAGGACUCUUUGGCCAGACUUUUGCUGCUACCUAUGGAAACCAUUUUGACUGUGUCUGGAACCCUGCAGACACCUUCCUGGGAGUGCUCUCAUUUGCACAGAAACAGUCGAUCGAUAUGUGACAGAAUUAGAGACCUGCAGUAAAACCUUGGAGCUGAGGAUCUGUGAGAACUGUGAACACAAAAUAAUGUGCAGAAUUCUGCAUACAGCAUAGAAGUCAAAUGCAUGUACAAGAGCCAGAAGCUGCAACAGCGGAAGUUUGCUGGGCAAGAGGACUCCUCUGCCCACCCAGAGGACCACCCAUUGGAGAGGAGAAACCAUCGCUGGCAACGGAUAUAAAACACCUACAGAAAGUAGGAGUAUUUCCCAGGAAAUUCCAAGUUACAACAAAUGUGGUCCUAAGCCAUAUCCUUGUAAAAGCCUGCAAAAUGUGAUUCAGAAUGUGCUUGUAAAAGCUGCAGCCACAGCCAUGGCUCAGAGGGACUUUUGGCCAGUAAGAACAGCUCAUAGACUUUACCCUGUGAAGUGGCAAGAACUGUGAUGCCGUUCAGCCAUUCUGUGCCACAGCUAACUGUAGGACAAAGACAAUUUCAAGGCAGGUUAGUAGGUGGGUACCCUUGGAAAAAGGAAAGGCAGGUGUACAACAGCGAAACAGGUGAACAUCUAGUUAUGUGCACAAAGGGCAUGAUGGACUAUGUUUGAAUCUAUUCUAAAAAUACCUAUACCAGGCCAUUUGAAAAGUAGUAGGGAAGACAGAAUUGCACAGUUUGCAAAUACUAACAUUUUAACAUAUAGGGCAUAGCUUUAGUUACCCUCUCUCUUGCAGUGCCUAGGUGGUGAGCUGUGCAUCUAGCUGUAGGUCUCUGGAGCAAAAAUGAGUGCCUGUGCCACCAAUGGAAGGGCAUUGUGCAAACAGGUCCCACAGCAGGGGGUGGUUCUCCCUGGCUCACCUCUCAGUCACACUGUUUGCCUGCCCAUGAACAGAGCCAAAGACUUGCCGUUGGGCUCUCUUUAGGCCGUAGCCUGAGACUGGACCAGCAAGGCAAAUGUUGAACGACUGCUACAAAUAACUGCCCUAACCACUACUUUCUGUAGGCUGAGUGGCAGCGUUUCAUGGCAGGCACAACCAGCAGUGGAGAUAAGAGUUCAAAGCCAAAUAGACAUGACAGAGCUAGUACAAAUGCUAUUUAUUAAAGAAAUGCCUGGGUUGCAGAGGAAGCAGAAUGGUGCAUCUUGAAAGGGACUGUUAACACCUGUGAGUGAAGAGCAACAAGGGCUGGGAAGCAAAGGGAGCUGCCAGAGGCAGCAGCUAAUGGACCCGGUCCUGGGGUGAGCUGGCAACAAGGAGCAUGUGGCUGGGAGCUAAAGGGUAAGUUGUGCUGCUUCAUCUAGCCAUAAAAGCAAGAGCUGACCAAAGGGGCUGCCCAAGCUGAGCUGAGAGACAGCAAAGUGCUGCUGGAGAAGGAGAUAUCCCAUGGGGAAUUGCUGUUCUUUACUAUGGUCUGUCCAGAAAAACUAAUAACCAUGUACUCCUCUCAGCAGGCAACAUUGCAUUUCUGCACCCUCCAGCACUGGAGCUGAGACUCCAGCUCCCACCUCAUGGUCCAGAUCCAAGGCCUCAGCUGCUGAGCCCACCUGAGCAGACUUCUCACCCAGCCCUUCCAGUGUGUCAGCACAGCCACUGCAGGCUGGGCUCUGAGCCCUCCUUACCCCCAUCACUGCAAGCAGGCCUGCCCCAUAGCUGAUGCCAUGGCCAAUCUGAGGUGUGUCCAGAGCCCAUCCAUUCAGACCCUCCCAGCUGAGCCUGCAGGUGAUGUCACAGUGCACAGAGUACUGCACAGACCACUGGUCCUAGAGUGUCCUGAGGAGCCUCUGCUGGGAUGGGCGCCCUGGUGCCAAAGCUCCUGGUGUCAAUUCAGACUGGUGCUCUGGUCAGUGAGCGAAGGCAUUUGCUCCCUUUAGGUGUCAGCUGCAAUGCAAGUUUCCCAUCUGCAUACUGCAGACUUGUUCUGGAAGGAAAUAGACUAGAAAGAAGGAAAGCCAGUGUCUUUCCAUUUGUCCUUAUCCUUGUGCUGGAACCUGGCUGCCAACAACUUGUCACAAAGAUGUUCUCUGCAGUGACGUGCUUCACGCUGGGCUCCUCCAGUGUAGCACUGGCCACACAGUGGGAAUGCUCCAGCUGGUUCAUGCUUCUGCUCAGCUGAGGAAGACACCUUCUCCUGCUAGUGCCCCAGGACACGCUCCCAAGGGAAGGGAUCUUGAUGGCAAUCCUGCAGCUGGUGCCUCUGUGGCAGCUGUAGGGGCCAGCGCAGGAGCCCCUGCUGCAGGCUCAGCUGGGCAAGGGCCUGGCAGGCUGCUGCUGGCUUCCCCAGCCUCCUGGGGCCUGAUGUGGGGUCGCAUGAUACCCUAUCCCAAACCUGUGGUUCAAUGCUCAGAGGCAGAAGCAAUUUUACAUAAAGUUCAAUUAAAUAUUU